rnacentral:tRNA from 1 species
GGGGCCAUAGCUCAGCUGGGAGRGCGCCUGCUUUGCACGCAGGAGGUCAGGAGUUCGAUCCUCCUUGGCUCCACCA